rnacentral:rRNA from 1 species
GAUGAACGCUGGCGGCGUGCCUAAUACAUGCAAGUCGAGCGAACCACUUCGGCGGUGAGCGGCGAACGGGUGAGUAACACGUAGGUGAUCUGCCCAUCAGACGGGGACAACGAUUGGAAACGAUCGCUAAUACCGGAUAGGACGAAAGUUUAAAGGUGCUUCUGGCACCGCUGAUGGAUGAGCCUGCGGCGCAUCAGCUAGUUGGUAGGGUAAAGGCCUACCAAGGCGACGAUGCGUAGCCGACCUGAGAGGGUGAACGGCCACACUGGGACUGAGACACGGCCCAGACUCCUACGGGAGGCAGCAGUAGGGAAUCUUCGGCAAUGGGCGAAAGCCUGACCGAGCAACGCCGCGUGAAUGAUGAAGGCCUUCGGGUUGUAAAAUUCUGUUAUAAGGGAAGAACGACUUUAGUAGGAAAUGGUUAGAGUGUGACGGUACCUUAUGAGAAAGCCACGGCUAACUACGUGCCAGCCGCCGCGGUAA